CCUACGGGUGGCAGCAGUGAGGAAUAUUGGUCAAUGGGCGGGAGCCUGAACCAGCCAAGCAGCGUGAAGGAUGACUGCCCUAUGGGUUGUAAACUUCUUUUAUAAAGGAAUAAAACGAGGCACGUGUGCCUUUUUGCAUGUACUUUAUGAAUAAGGCUCGGCUAACUCCGUGCCAGCAGCCGCGGUAAUACGGAGGAUACGAGCGUUAUCCGGAUUUAUUGGGUGUAACGGGAGCGUAGAUGGGUUGUUAAGUCAGUUGUGAAAGUUUGCGGCUCAACCGGAAAACUGCAAUUGAUACUGGCAGGCUUGAGUCGAGGUGAGGUAGGCGGAAUUCGUGGUGUAGCGGUGAAAUGCUUAGAUAUCACGAAGAACCCCGAUGGCGAAGGCAGCUUACUAAACUGUGACUGACAUUGAUGCUCGAAAGUGUGGGUAUCAAACAGGAUUAGAUACCCGUGUAGUC
rnacentral:rRNA from 1 species